CGUUUGCAUAAAGCACGGGGGCGACGCACCUUUUCCCACGCCGCUCCACGGGAGGAUGAUUGGCGGCGGCUCGUGCGUAGCCAGACACCGAAAUGCUGCUCUGUUAUAACUGCAUUUAAAGAAGCCGCUGGCUCCGGCACCUCUACGGGCUACACAGCUACACUCAAUUUCACCUUUUGCUUGGAUCCCGUUUUUUUUGACUGGCACCUGUGAAUGUGACCCACAUCCAACGUGAAUUUGAUGGAUGCAUUGCGAAGUGACCCCCGCGUGGAAAAUAAUUGCAAGUCAUCACAUUUAACCUUCCGCUGUGGACACUUUACACAUUUAGUCUCACUGCAUUAAGGCAAGGAAAUCUGCAUGUGUUCAAACCUAAGCACCAACCAUACGAAGCACUAAUGUAAACAGUUGAGCUUUUCACAUUAAAACCUAAUCUACCUAAUCAGCACGGUGCCUUCACAGAUCACGUUUAAUUCUAUUUUCUGAGAAUCCUCAAACUGUGCUGACAUGGUGGUCUGAGAAAAAAAAAAAAAAAAAAAAAAGAAUAACAUGCUGGCAAGAGUGGAACACGGUGGUGGUUCUUUGCCACUUUGGGGCAAAUGGGGUCAGGAUUAAUGGCGUCCUAAAUGAUGAGAAAGGCACCGUGCAUUACAAUCAGGGCAUGAUUGGCGCCAAAUUUAUUCUGCAGCGAGACAACUGCAAAACAACACUUCCAUCGUUGAAAGCAUUUUUCUCCACACCUGCCAAAAACGUUUGCACGGUAUUGUACAUCUCUGUUUUCAGAUUGUGUUAAUGUCAGUCUGACUGUUGCCUUCCUGGUGCCUGGGGCAUCCUCCACAUGUACACUAAAGUAUGUUGGAACCUCCACCGCUGACACUUCACUGGGGCAAUAAUGGGCCACAAGUGUAUAAAUAUAUAUAGAAUGGCCUCUGACAGAAACAUUGCUGUGUCAAAUAUGAACAAAUAAAAUAAAAAAAUUAAAUGCAUUCGGAGAGCGUUCCAUUUUCACGCCUGUGCACAUCUGGUCAGUUACUAUUGAUUGUGGAAUGCCUCAGUCUAGUUGUUAUUUCUGCUCCUGAUCAUCACUUUAUGGCUAAAGAAAAAUGUCUGAUACCAGAAAUAUAAUGUUUUGACAAGCCAUGAGAAAUGCCUUGUCAAAUAAAUGUCAAAUAAAAUCUUUAAAAUAAUCCUUUUCUCUUGAUUUGUCCUUAAACUAAAUGCCUAUUUUAGACAUCAUCCGCUUCUAAACUCCAUUUAUGCAGCUACUACAUACAGUUUUCCAGCUGCACUACAGCUGCACCAGUGGUCACCAGAAUAUACUUCAAAACAUGACUUGCAUUUAUAACUUGCACGUCUAUUUGCUUCUUUCAGCAGGCAUGUUGGAAAUAUGAGUACCUGGCACUUUACCUGGCGGAUGAAUGGCAGGAACACUCGGGUUAACGGCGCGGAGGUGCUCUUCAGCUCGGAGACUGCCGAGGACCGAAGGGGAUUCAUACAGCGAGUGUUACGUUGUAGAUAACAAAAAAAUGUUUCAAGCUGCAGAAACUAAUAAAACAAAGUCCUUAGUCACAAAAAAUGAUUUUUUUUCCUCCUCGGUCAUGAGCUGGAAUCCCACCUCGCAGCCCAUUUCAUCUCCUCCUUCCUGUCUCAACUCCCCACUGUGUCGGUAAUAAG